UGGUGGAGCGAUUUGUCUGGUUAAUUCCGAUAACGAACGAGACUCUAGCCUAUUAAAUAGUUCGCCGAUUUUUCGAGUCGGCGUCAACUUCUUAGAGGGACAAUGUCGUAUAGGCACGCGAGAUUGAGCAAUAACA
rnacentral:rRNA from 1 species